rnacentral:rRNA from 1 species
UACGAAGGGGGGCUAGCGUUGUUCGGAAUUACUGGGCGUAAAGCGUGCGCAGGCGGUUUUGUAAGUCUGUUGUGAAAUCCCCGGGCUCAACCUGGGAAUGGCAAUGGAGACUGCAAGGCUAGAGUUUGGCAGAGGGGGGGUAGAAUUCCACGUGUAGCAGUGAAAUGCGUAGAUAUGUGGAGGAACACCGAUGGCGAAGGCAGCCCCCCUGGGUCAAAACUGACGCUCAUGCACGAAAGCGUGGGGAGCAAACAGG